rnacentral:lncRNA from 1 species
GCUUGUUGUGCAGCGGAGUUUGCUACAGCGUCCUUGACCAUAUCUCCAACAUGGAGUACUGCGUCCAGAUGUGGAGUCCUCCGUACAGAAGAGACAUAACCUGUUGGAGCGCAUCCAGAGAAGGGCCACAAAAAUGAUCCAAGGCUCCUGUUGUCAAACAGCAAGUCCGAGGGCCCCUGGAAAGAAAUAAUCAGCCGAGGUGCGGCGAGGGACGAGGCCACACACCCAUAUGGUUUCUAGUAGCCAAGCAAUUUAAUAACUGCACACAGCCGUUUAUAUAGAGCGGUACAAAUAACAUGCUAAGUACAACAAGGCAUGGUUCUCAUAACUUGCAGUUGCUUGCAGCUUGUCUCACGGCACCUGACACAGUGGUCUCUAUCGCAGCUCCGCAUUCCUUUCGCCUACUCCAAUCAUUGUUCUGUGUGAAACAGUGAUCCAUAGCAGCUGUUUUGCUUGCACUGACCCAGGGGGAGAUAAACAUGACCUCCCUGGGUCAGCUGUCCAUCCACAAUUUCCUCGUUCUUUUCUUGCACAAGCAAAACAGCCGAGGUAACCUUCGAGAGCAUUUUCUUAAAAAACAGCAAUAACCGAA